GUACAGUGCGCGGUAACACAACGAGACUGCUGGCAUGCGCUGUGUGAUGACGGCGACCCCGCGCUGUUCCCGGAGCAGACAUUGCGCGCGUUACGGUGCGUGUUGGUCGCAGCGGAUCAGGCGAGCGUGCCAGAGCUGCGGGCCGCAGUGCGCACGUUGCGGGCGCUACUGAGAGCGGGACACACGAGGAUCGCGAGACAAUUACAGCUGCUGGGUUACGUGCGAGAU